UACGUAGGUGACCAGCGUUGUCCGGAUUUACUGGGCGUAAAGAGCGCGCAGGCGGUCGUUCAAGUCGAGUGUGAAAGCCCCCGGCUCAACUGGGGAGGGUCACUCGAUACUGAUCGACUUGAAGGCAGGAGAGGGAAGCGGAAUUCCCGGUGUAGUGGUGAAAUGCGUAGAUAUCGGGAGGAACACCAGUGGCGAAGGCGGCUUCCUGGCCUGUUCUUGACGCUGAGGCGCGAAAGCUAGGGGAGCAAACAGGGAUUAAGAAACCC
rnacentral:rRNA from 1 species